GACAGAUUGGUGAUUAUUCUCUCGAUCCUAAUCGUUGUUUAUACAGUUUUGAUUCCACUGAGGUAAUUUACGCGACAGCCAUCGGGAGGAUCUUCCGGCUGCCUAAACAGAAUAAAACCAGUUCGAAAAUCAACACAAGCUUAACUUUUGGCUGCAGUUUGUAAUCAGCUUGUGUAAACAUGAGGACAAGCCGGCUAGAGUGGUUCCCUUGAAGGAGUUUCCGGCCAACGACAAAUGACAAUACCUUAGGAGAUAAGCUGUAAACAUAA